rnacentral:rRNA from 1 species
UGCGUUCCAUUAGACAGUUGGCGGGGUAACGGCCCACCAAACCUUCGAUGGAUAGGGGUUCUGAGAGGAAGGUCCCCCACAUUGGAACUGAGACACGGUCCAAACUCCUACGGGAGGCAGCAGUGAGGAAUAUUGGUCAAUGGGCGAGAGCCUGAACCAGCCAAGUAGCGUGAAGGAUGACCGCCCUAUGGGUUGUAAACUUCUUUUAUAUGGGAAUAAAGUUUGCCACGUGUGGCAUUUUGUAUGUACCAUAUGAAUAAGGAUCGGCUAACUCCGUGCCAGCAGCCGCGGUAAUACGGAGGAUCCGAGCGUUAUCCGGAUUUAUUGGGUUUAAAGGGAGCGUAGGUGGACAUGUAAGUCAGUUGUGAAAGUUUGCGGCUCAACCGUAAAAUUGCAGUUGAUACUGCGUGUCUUGAGUACAGUAGAGGUGGGCGGAAUUCGUGGUGUAGCGGUGAAAUGCUUAGAUAUCAC